UACGUAGGGGGCGAGCGUUGUCCGGAUUUAUUGGGCGUAAAGAGCUCGUAGGCGGUUUGGUAAGUCGGGUGUGAAAUCUCCACGCUCAACGUGGAGGGGCCACUCGAUACUGCCAUGACUCGAGUCCGGUAGAGGAGUGUGGAAUUCCCGGUGUAGCGGUGAAAUGCGCAGAUAUCUGAAGGAACAUCAGUGGCGAAAGCGACUUCCUGGACCAAUACUGACGCUCAUGUGCGAAAGCGUGGGGAGCAAACAGG
rnacentral:rRNA from 1 species